rnacentral:rRNA from 1 species
GGGUUGUGAGGUUAAGCGACUAAGCGUACACGGUGGAUGCCCUGGCAGUCAGAGGCGAUGAAGGACGUGCUAAUCUGCGAUAAGCGUCGGUAAGGUGAUAUGAACCGUUAUAACCGGCGAUUUCCGAAUGGGGAAACCCAGUGUGUUUCGACACACUAUCAUUAACUGAAUCCAUAGGUUAAUGAGGCGAACCGGGGGAACUGAAACAUCUAAGUACCCCGAGGAAAAGAAAUCAACCGAGAUUCCCCAGUAGCGGCGAGCGAACGGGGAGCAGCCCAGAGCCUGAAUCAGUGUGUGUGUUAGUGGAAGCGUCUGGAAAGGCGCGCGAUACAGGGUGACAGCCCCGUACACAAAAAUGCACAUACUGUGAGCUCGAUGAGUAGGGCGGGACACGUGGUAUCCUGUCUGAAUAUGGGGGGACCAUCCUCCAAGGCUAAAUACUCCUGACUGACCGAUAGUGAACCAGUACCGUGAGGGAAAGGCGAAAAGAACCCCGGCGAGGGGAGUGAAAAAGAACCUGAAACCGUGUACGUACAAGCAGUGGGAGCACGCUUCGGCGUGUGACUGCGUACCUUUUGUAUAAUGGGUCAGCGACUUAUAUUCUGUAGCAAGGUUAACCGAAUAGGGGAGCCGAAGGGAAACCGAGUCUUAACUGGGCGUUAAGUUGCAGGGUAUAGACCCGAAACCCGGUGAUCUAGCCAUGGGCAGGUUGAAGGUUGGGUAACACUAACUGGAGGACCGAACCGACUAAUGUUGAAAAAUUAGCGGAUGACUUGUGGCUGGGGGUGAAAGGCCAAUCAAACCGGGAGAUAGCUGGUUCUCCCCGAAAGCUAUUUAGGUAGCGCCUCGUGAAUUCAUCUCCGGGGGUAGAGCACUGUUUCGGCAAGGGGGUCAUCCCGACUUACCAACCCGAUGCAAACUGCGAAUACCGGAGAAUGUUAUCACGGGAGACACACGGCGGGUGCUAACGUCCGUCGUGAAGAGGGAAACAACCCAGACCGCCAGCUAAGGUCCCAAAGUCAUGGUUAAGUGGGAAACGAUGUGGGAAGGCCCAGACAGCCAGGAUGUUGGCUUAGAAGCAGCCAUCAUUUAAAGAAAGCGUAAUAGCUCACUGGUCGAGUCGGCCUGCGCGGAAGAUGUAACGGGGCUAAACCAUGCACCGAAGCUGCGGCAGCGACACUAUGUGUUGUUGGGUAGGGGAGCGUUCUGUAAGCCUGUGAAGGUGUACUGUGAGGUAUGCUGGAGGUAUCAGAAGUGCGAAUGCUGACAUAAGUAACGAUAAAGCGGGUGAAAAGCCCGCUCGCCGGAAGACCAAGGGUUCCUGUCCAACGUUAAUCGGGGCAGGGUGAGUCGACCCCUAAGGCGAGGCCGAAAGGCGUAGUCGAUGGGAAACAGGUUAAUAUUCCUGUACUUGGUGUUACUGCGAAGGGGGGACGGAGAAGGCUAUGUUGGCCGGGCGACGGUUGUCCCGGUUUAAGCGUGUAGGCUGGUUUUCCAGGCAAAUCCGGAAAAUCAAGGCUGAGGCGUGAUGACGAGGCACUACGGUGCUGAAGCAACAAAUGCCCUGCUUCCAGGAAAAGCCUCUAAGCAUCAGGUAACAUCAAAUCGUACCCCAAACCGACACAGGUGGUCAGGUAGAGAAUACCAAGGCGCUUGAGAGAACUCGGGUGAAGGAACUAGGCAAAAUGGUGCCGUAACUUCGGGAGAAGGCACGCUGAUAUGUAGGUGAAGUCCCUCGCGGAUGGAGCUGAAAUCAGUCGAAGAUACCAGCUGGCUGCAACUGUUUAUUAAAAACACAGCACUGUGCAAACACGAAAGUGGACGUAUACGGUGUGACGCCUGCCCGGUGCCGGAAGGUUAAUUGAUGGGGUUAGCGGUAACGCGAAGCUCUUGAUCGAAGCCCCGGUAAACGGCGGCCGUAACUAUAACGGUCCUAAGGUAGCGAAAUUCCUUGUCGGGUAAGUUCCGACCUGCACGAAUGGCGUAAUGAUGGCCAGGCUGUCUCCACCCGAGACUCAGUGAAAUUGAACUCGCUGUGAAGAUGCAGUGUACCCGCGGCAAGACGGAAAGACCCCGUGAACCUUUACUAUAGCUUGACACUGAACAUUGAGCCUUGAUGUGUAGGAUAGGUGGGAGGCUUUGAAGUGUGGACGCCAGUCUGCAUGGAGCCGACCUUGAAAUACCACCCUUUAAUGUUUGAUGUUCUAACGUUGACCCGUAAUCCGGGUUGCGGACAGUGUCUGGUGGGUAGUUUGACUGGGGCGGUCUCCUCCUAAAGAGUAACGGAGGAGCACGAAGGUUGGCUAAUCCUGGUCGGACAUCAGGAGGUUAGUGCAAUGGCAUAAGCCAGCUUGACUGCGAGCGUGACGGCGCGAGCAGGUGCGAAAGCAGGUCAUAGUGAUCCGGUGGUUCUGAAUGGAAGGGCCAUCGCUCAACGGAUAAAAGGUACUCCGGGGAUAACAGGCUGAUACCGCCCAAGAGUUCAUAUCGACGGCGGUGUUUGGCACCUCGAUGUCGGCUCAUCACAUCCUGGGGCUGAAGUAGGUCCCAAGGGUAUGGCUGUUCGCCAUUUAAAGUGGUACGCGAGCUGGGUUUAGAACGUCGUGAGACAGUUCGGUCCCUAUCUGCCGUGGGCGCUGGAGAACUGAGGGGGGCUGCUCCUAGUACGAGAGGACCGGAGUGGACGCAUCACUGGUGUUCGGGUUGUCAUGCCAAUGGCACUGCCCGGUAGCUAAAUGCGGAAGAGAUAAGUGCUGAAAGCAUCUAAGCACGAAACUUGCCCCGAGAUGAGUUCUCCCUGACUCCUUGAGAGUCCUGAAGGAACGUUGAAGACGACGACGUUGAUAGGCCGGGUGUGUAAGCGCAGCGAUGCGUUGAGCUAACCGGUACUAAUGAACCGUGAGGCUUAACCUUACAACGCCGAAGCUGUU